rnacentral:rRNA from 1 species
GACGAACGCUGGCGGCGUGCUUAACACAUGCAAGUCGAACGGAAAGGCCCUGCUUUUGUGGGGUGCUCGAGUGGCGAACGGGUGAGUAACACGUGAGUAACCGGCCCUUGACUUUGGGAUAACUUCAGGAAACUGGGGCUAAUACCGGAUAGGAGCUCCUGCUGCAUGGUGGGGGUUGGAAAUUUUCGGCGGUCGGGGUUGGAUUCGCGGCUGACCGGCUUGCUGGUUGGGGAGGGGCUUACCAAGCCAUGGACGGGUAGCCGGCCUGAGAGGGUGGCCGGCCACAUUGGGACUGAGAUACGGACCAGACUCAUACGUGAGGCAGCAGUGGGGAAUAUUGCCCAAUGGGCGGGAGCCUGAUGCGGCGACGCCGCGUUCGGGAUGACCGCCUUUGGGUUAUAAACCGCUUUCGCCUGUGACGAAGCGGGAGUGACGGUAAUGGGUAAAGAAGCACCGGCUAACUACGUG